UGGUGGAGUGAUUUGUCUGGUUAAUUCCGUUAACGAACGAGACUUUACCCUGCUAAAUAGACACUAUAGUUCGACCUAUAGCUGGACUUCUUAGAGGGACUUUGCGCGUUUAGCGCAAGGAAGUUUAAAGCAAUAACA
rnacentral:rRNA from 1 species